UUCGAGAAUUGAGACUUCAG
rnacentral:piRNA from 1 species